GGUUGCUGGUUGUGGGUCUAUCCCAAUUCCCAAUCAAUGUGGCCGGUGGAAGGGGAGUCCGCUGUCUUGGAGGCAGGCCACGCCGGCCAGCAGGGCGGAGAAUCACCUGCGCCGGAAGGGACGACAACGAUGCCACCGGGGAGGAUGCCCAGCGGCAGCGGAAGAGAGGAAGACAUCGCCUCCACCAUCCCUCCCUUAACAGCUUCUUCCUUCCGGCGAUGCCCACCCAAGAAACCAGCGCUCCGGGUGGACUCACCUCACCCAUGCCACUUCUGAAGAGGAGCUAUGUGAUGGGUCUGCCCUCCCAUGGCGAGCAGGGUGACUACGACGCGGGCGUGGAGCUCAUAGCGGAAGGCCUACCCGAAUCGUAUUUGGAAUAACAGAGCUUGCUGGUGUUGGAUCUGCCGAGGAGGAGAUCGCUGAUGUGCUUCUGACGCUAGGGAUUUUGCAAGUUAUGGUUAAUCUAUUCUCUCUUUGCCUCUUUGGUACCUAUGUUUUUUAUAUCCAAAUUGCUUCAAUUAUUACAUUUGUGCCUGCACAUGAACUUUGCUCAUGAUAGUCCUAACUGAAUAUAUCAUUGAUAUUUCCAGUCAUCGAUUUGCCCCAAAUUUGACCCUUUUCAAUCCUUUUACUUAGUAUCGGAAGGAAAAAGAAAUAAAAGAUGAAUUGGGUUGAACCUCAGAGUCAUGAAAAAUUUGGUAAAUUAUAUUUUGGAAAAAAGAAAUUCAAUUUAAAUAAAGGGGUAUCCAAGCUAAACCAGGCCUCAGAAAUCAGAGCAUAGAAAAAAGCUGGGCUGGCUAAUUAAAUGAAAGGAUUUCGAAGCUAAAUCUUUGCUAAUUCGACAAGGAUUGUAUUCUUUAAUUAUUUCUUUAUUUUUAUUACUUAAUUUAAGAAUGAAAAAUAAAUUAUUCUAAUGGAUUUUAUUCUUCUUCUUCGGAUUCUAAAUAGAAGAAUAAAAGAAUACAUCAUAACUGCAAUCGAUUGGUUUAUCUGAAGACUAAAGCUGACAUAAAAAAGUAGAUGAUUCCCCUGUUCUUCAACGCACCCUCAAUCUCAUAUGUAGCUGAGUAGCUCCCUCGAGUCUAAACAUGGAAUAGAAACUGGGUUCUAAUUUUUAACCUUUGUUUAUAUGUCAGUCACCCAAAAGUCUCCAGUAAAGAUACUCAAACACAGGCAGAAUAAAUCAAGGACAAUAUUUUUUUAAUAUUAUAUCUAUCUAACAAUCAACUCAACUAACUCUCAAAAUUUAACUAUGAAAAUGUCUAGAACAAAUUUUACGCCUAGAAUGUAAAGUAUUUCAGAAAGUUUUGCUCAAUCGCAUCAGGGGGUUGGACAAGGUGAGCAACGACUCAUCCCAAUUCAUGAGAAGGAUGUAGCCGUGGCGGGAAUCGAUGAUAAUAUGCUGCUCCCUUGGUAGUACACCAACAUGGACAGUCACGAUUUAUUCAUUUUUUAAACUUCAAAAUACACUGCUAAAUACAUUACCCUGUGGCAAAUGAUACCUGGCUGGACCAAACCAGGCCGAGUCUAUGGAUCAAUCCCCACUCGUUCCCCUGCAGCAAGGGACAAAAAAUACUGGAGACGAUAUACACAGAGGAUCUAGGCGGGAUCGCCGGGGGCAGCAGUGGCCGGACCAUGAGUAGCGGAGCCAUGAGUGGUAACCAUGGAGAAGGUUAAUGAGUUCGAGAAGGUUCAGCUGACAAACCAAAGGUAACAAAUACUGAAAAUGUCCAAAGCCGGUAAUUGGAGAUUCCAAUAUACUAUGAUGUAUGACAACACAGUGACAAUGUAUGAUCAUGCAAGCAGUUUACGCGGGUGAAGCCACAGGUUCAGCUGACAAACAAAAGAGUAACAAAUACUGAAAAUGUCCAAAGCCGGAUAUUGGAGAUUCUAAUAUAUGAUAUAUGACAAAACAGUGGCAAUGUAUGAUUUCUGCAAGCAGUUUACGCGGAUGAAGCCACAGGUACUAAACCACCAUUUGAUUAAGUAUCAUACCAUGAACGCGCAUGCCAGAUUUAAUUACCAAACAAUCAUUAACCUGCAGUACUUAACACUUAACAGAGCACCUGUUCCAUGCAGCUACAUGGUGUUAACACUAGUUACAUUAUUAUAUGCCAAUAGCCCCAGUAUAGCAUGACAAUUAUCAGACAACAUAAACAGGUUUUGCAUACCAUAGCUAGGUACCAAGACUACCUACUUGGUUUUAAAUACCAUAUAAGCAGAGUGGACCCUGCA